UACGUAGGGUGCGAGCGUUAAUCGGAAUUACUGGGCGUAAAGCGUGCGCAGGCGGUUGUGCAAGACAGAUGUGAAAUCCCCGGGCUCAACCUGGGAACUGCAUUUGUGACUGCACGGCUGGAGUGCGGCAGAGGGGGAUGGAAUUCCGCGUGUAGCAGUGAAAUGCGUAGAUAUGCGGAGGAACAUCGAUGGCGAAGGCAAUCCCCUGGGCCUGCACUGACGCUCAUGCACGAAAGCGUGGGGAGCAAACAGG
rnacentral:rRNA from 1 species